rnacentral:rRNA from 1 species
CUAGCCCUAAACUUUGAUAGUGUCACUACUAUCCGCCAGAGAAUUACGAGCGAAAAGCUUAAAACUCAAAAGACUUGACGGUGCCCCAAACCAACCUAGAGGAGCCUGUCCUAUAAUCGAUGACCCACGUUUCACCUCGCCUGCCCUCGCAUUAAUCAGCCAGCCUAUAUACCGCCGCCUUCCCGCCUACCUUGUAAAAGUAGCACAGCAAGCAAAAUAACUCUUUCGCUAGAACGUCAGGUCAAGGUGUAGCUAAUGAGCAGGAAAGAGAUGGGCUACAUUCUCUACUGAUAUAGAUCACAACCACCGGUAUUAUGAAAACAUACCUCAAAGGAGGAUUUAGUAGUAAUUUAGGCAAGAAUUCCUAAAUGAAUCCUGCCCUGGGGCGC